rfam:Ictidomys tridecemlineatus contig114417, whole genome shotgun sequence.
GGAGUUGUGGCUCAGUGGUAGGGCACUAGCCUUGCAUGCCUGAGGCUCUGGGUUCAAUCCUCAGCACCA